rnacentral:tRNA from 1 species
UGUUUUGUGGCUUAGCGGUAGAGCGCUCAUUUAGCACGUGCUAAAUAGAGGCCCUGGGUUCUAUCCUCAGCACCACAU